GGGGGUAUAGCUUAGUUGUAGAGCAUUCGACUGCAGAUCGAGCGAUCCCCUGUUCAAACCUGGGUGCCCCCU